rnacentral:tRNA from 1 species
UUCAUGUAGCUCGAUGGUAGAGUGCAUAUCUAGCAUGCUUGAGGCCCUGGGUUCCAUCCCUAGCACUGGAA